rnacentral:rRNA from 1 species
UGGGGAAUAUUGCACAAUGGGCGCAAGCCUGAUGCAGCCAUGCCGCGUGUGUGAAGAAGGCCUUCGGGUUGUAAAGCACUUUCAGCGAGGAGGAAGGGUAGUGUGUUAAUAGCACAUUGCAUUGACGUUACUCGCAGAAGAAGCACCGGCUAACUCCGUGCCAGCAGCCGCGGUAAUACGGAGGGUGCAAGCGUUAAUCGGAAUUACUGGGCGUAAAGCGCACGCAGGCGGUUUGUUAAGUCAGAUGUGAAAUCCCCGCGCUUAACGUGGGAACUGCAUUUGAAACUGGCAAGCUAGAGUCUUGUAGAGGGGGGUGAGAAUUCCAGGUGUAGCGGUGAAAUGCGUAGAGAUCUGGAGGAAUACCGGUGGCGAAGGCGGCCCCCUGGACAAAGACUGAC